rnacentral:rRNA from 1 species
AUGAACGCUGGCGGCGUGCCUAAUACAUGCAAGUCGAGCGAACAGACGAGGAGCUUGCUCCUCUGACGUUAGCGGCGGACGGGUGAGUAACACGUGGAUAACCUACCUAUAAGACUGGGAUAACUUCGGGAAACCGGUGCUAAUACCGGAUAAUAUAUUGAACCGCAUGGUUCAAUAGUGAAAGACGGUUUUGCUGUCACUUAUAGAUGGAUCCGCGCCGCAUUAGCUAGUUGGUAAGGUAACGGCUUACCAAGGCAACGAUGCGUAGCCGACCUGAGAGGGUGAUCGGCCACACUGGAACUGAGACACGGUCCAGACUCCUACGGGAGGCAGCAGUAGGGAAUCUUCCGCAAUGGGCGAAAGCCUGACGGAGCAACGCCGCGUGAGUGAUGAAGGUCUUCGGAUCGUAAAACUCUGUUAUUAGGGAAGAACAAAUGUGUAAGUAACUAUGCACGUCUUGACGGUACCUAAUCAGAAAGCCACGGCUAACUACGUG